GAUCCGGACUGAUCCGGACUGAUCCGGACUGAUCCGGACUGAUCCGGACUGAUCCGGACUGAUCCGGACUGAUCCGGACUGAUCCGGACUGAUCCGGACUGAUCCGGACUGAUCCGGACUGAUCCGGACUGAUCCGGACUGAUCCGGACUGAUCCGGAGUCGAAUUCAGUUAUGAUCCGGAGCCGGAGUCAUAUUAUGCGCACCGGAGUCGGAGUUGAUCCAUGACUCCGCUCCGGAUUACCCAUCACUACGAGAAUCAUGAGGAUGUUGGAGCGUAUUGGAGUUGGAGAUUGAAAUUCUUCUACGCAUUGGAUCUUGGUCUCGUUUAGCUAGACUUUGAAAGAUCUUGAUGUCUUUGACUUGUUUUUAGACAUUUUUAUAUUAACCGUACGUCUACAGGCAUCUGAUUUCUAAGAGCUCUACAGCUCUAAUAGCUCUAACUGCUCCGUAAAAGCUUAGAUAUGUUUUGAUUUGCUGGAACUCCUAUAGAAAACGAAAAUCAAUCAUUGUAUGAUGUAUACAAUCCCAAUAUGCCAGAUCCCAAUCCCCGUAAAUCAUUGUUUGAUUUAAGUCUUACUAAUCCGCUACAUCUGGUUCCGUUGUAAGAUCAAGCGCCUUUAAGCCAACCCUCAUAGGUCACCUAACCUUUUGCACAAUCGCUCGCCCAUUUGCUUUCCGUUCGGUUCUACACGCUUCAAACGCUGUCAGUUGCACAAAUGUUUGGCAUGUGCAUGAAUGGUGUUUUCAUCCGCCUCCCCUCCCCUCCCUGGUUUCUGUACCACCGCUGCAUCGGUAAUGAGCCGGGUGAGCUGGAAAAAUGAACCCGAGACACGGGUGGGUUUCUUUUUACUUGGUUGCUCUGGUCCGAAAUCCGUAGGCACUCAUUAGAGCACAUUGGUUUCGACGUAGAAUAAAAACUAGUCAAGUGUCAAAACACACACACGCACACAUACAAACCUAUGGAGAUGGAUGUAUUAUUUUCUUGUCCAUGAUAUAACGUUCUUGGUUCUUUUGUGUUCGCUGUGUGCGCGAGUGUGCGGUUUCCGCUGCAGUUUUGUCGCUUUUGCUCCUGAAUGUGGGGGCGAAAGUUGAAAGAAAUGCAUUCAACCGGCAAGCCGGCGGCCCUGGACGAUGGUGGUGAAGAUUUGCAGCAAAAACCAUCAAAGUGUGGUGCGCACUCAAGAAAGCGAGCCUGCAAGCCAAGAAUGCUUCAGAAGACCCGGGCAGCGGAAAUGGCGAUGGAGAAAAAGAAAGCAGCAAAGAAAGAAGCAAAAAAAAACAAACUGAAACGAAACCCAAAGAAUGAAGUGUAGCAAAUGACAUAUGCAAAGCUGUAAAAAAAAAAGAUGAGUGCAUAAAUGCAUAACCGGAGCAGAAGGAGUCGGAAGUAAGCGACAGGGUAACAAGUGUGCAUAAAUGCAAGUUUGCAGGAGUAACAGAAGAACAAGAAAAAAACAAAAAAAACAAAGACAAGAAAGUAUGUAAAGGGUAAACAUGUAACAUUGGUAGUGAGGAGAGUAGAAACAAAAAAAAACAGUUCCAUGCUCCAGCAAGCGAGCGGACGAGCGAACGAAAACACACAGCAACAGAACUGUGCAAAAAAAAAAGAAACAGAAAACAGUACCAUAAAUCAUUCAACCCCACCGGAGCGGGGGGGCCACGGACUUUUGCGUUGCGCUCAACGUCACAAAUCGUUAGUGUAAUGGUUGGCAUUUCCAGGAUCAGGCGCACGUGUGAUGCAUCUCAAGAAAAUAGCAGGCAAAAAAGGGACAGGAGAAAACAGCAGCAAACGGUGAAUGAUCCAUUUCGGAGUGAAAUUGCUCCCGACCAGGCGCGGCACACUGGAUGGACAUGUUGAAGUGCGCAGUUGAUGGCUUUAUACGCCACCGAGCGAACGAGGUGACGCUCAGCUCGCGGAUCCUGCAGCUGGAGCAAAAGUUUUUUCCUCAACCACCAUCACACCGUGAUGAUGCACCGGUGCACAUGCACAUGGUAUAAAAGUUGCUUGCAUGUUGAUCACUAUGAUGAUGAUGAUGAUGAUGUUAGAAUCUGGAAAGGUUGUUGUAUCCUAUCCUAACGCAAUCUGAAAUGUUUGUAACCUCCUUUCCCUGUGUUCCAUUCCCAUCCCUCCCCUCUUUUUUGGUGGCAGGCGGGGAGGGGGAAUGCAAAUCCGACGGUAAACAUUAGUGACAUUAUUUGUCUAAAUUUGCUACCGCCGCGAGCGUGGAUGCAUCGUGCUAGCGUUCAUGUUUCCUUUUCUCUCUUUCUCGCUUCUGAUGCAAAUAUGUACCAUUUGAUGUGCGCUUUUUGUUUUUCGGGUUUGUUGCUGCCAAUUUUGCUGCCGUACGUCCAGGCACUGGGUCGCGUCCCUUUUAUUCUGCUCUGCCGUACCCGGUUGAUCGUGCCCGAUUAAGGAUUGUGUGCGUUUUUGGGAUUGGGGCACAAAUAGCGAACAACAUGUGUUACAAUACAUGUGUUCCGCUAAAUAAUAAAAGCCAUAAAAGUGAGCAUGCAAGCAAUGAGGGUGAGUUGGGGGUGUGUUCGGAAGGCGGGUGGAUUGGCAAUUUUUGUAUGUUGGUUUUGUCACAAACGCACGCACGCACGUACGCACACACUUACCCAAAGGCCAUCAAUACCGGGUCCGGGCUGGACGUGAGCUUUUGCCUUUUGAUGGGUGCGUUUGAUGCACCGUGCAGAGUUGAAAUGGUGAUUUAAUUUUUGUCAUUAAUUUGUGGGGGCGAGAGAAAAUCAACAGUCCCUACAUGUACGGGAUUGCGUGACCUUUGAAUUGUUUAUGUUGGGUGUUUCAGAAUGUUUUGUUAUUAAUAAAAUACAAAACUGACAUAUCCUGACAAAUCCUUUGUUUAUCAAACAGUCCUCAACUGGAUCAAAUUAUUAAUACAUGAUUGACAGUUGCGUUUUGUUGAAUUUUGAAAAUUUUAUACAAAUUUAUACAAACAAUCAUUUUUAUUGAAAUCAGUAAGGGUUUAUUUGUUUUUGCUUAAUAAAGCUUUAAUAAUUUUGCGAAAUGUCAUAACAUCUCACUUAAAACACUUCAAAGAAACUGACCUUUAACCUUUCUUUACAAAAUGCUGGUACAACGAAAGACUCAUUAAACCAUCCUGGUGCUUACCGUUUCAGUACACUUCAAACGAGGAUUUGUUUACAAUAUUUGAGUUUGAUUUUUUUUUUAAAUGAAAUGUACUCAUAAUAUCAGUCACCAAACGUCAAACUCCAUGUGAAAAAAAAAACGAUGGUGCAAGAAACGUCAAAUGUAUAUAAAAGUUAUAAAAUUCAAUGUUUUUACCAUUAAUUCACUUUGAAACAAUCGAUUAAUCAUGAGUCGUAUAUUAUUUAAACCAAUAACUACAGGUUUAACAGCUGUUUAUGAACAAAAAUGAAGUUCGAAAAUGUCACUAGACACAAGAUAGCUGCACAAAACAAUUGUUUACCAACUUGACUAUCGCUGCAAAUGUUCGAGUGCAAUAGAUCGACGUUCUACUAUAGUUGGCAUCGUUGAAAGCCAUUGAGCUAUAUUGAGCGCAAUAAGUACUAUUUAAUUGAGUUUUACAACCUAACUCUACGUUUUUGUCAAAAACUGAUUUCUUUGUAAACAAAAUAUGAUGAGCUUCUCAGCUAAAUGCUGAACUAUUUUGAAAAAUAAACAUACAAAAAUCCUAUAUUAAAAAAAAUCAAAAUCAGUUUGAACGCUUGCGAAACUUUCUUACCAACCCAACGCAAGCACACAUAUCGAUAUCGGCUUUUAAUAAUCAAAUUAAAAUUGGGCUCCCUUUUUGUGUGGUAUUCCCUUGCGGUAUUGUCCCAAAAAGACACACACACACACCGCUUCAUGGGAGGGACAGCGUGUGAGAACAAAAUAAACAUGCCAAUUUUGGACAUGGAAUUCUGUCAACAAGCGUGCGUGCGGGUGUCGCAUUUCCUCCUUUCCCGCAACAUCAUUCAUUGCAUUUGCUGUCAAUGGGUUGGACGGCUGGGGUCAUGGUAAGAGUGCCCGAGAGUGUCCAUUUAUGAAGAGUGUGAAUUAAAAAAAAUGGGGGAAGGAAGAAGGGCGGUCGGUCGAUUUGAUUGGAUCAAACCAGAGGACAAAGGCGGUCCCGCGGGUUGGUCGAUGAAAAUGGAGCGAUGACAAAAUACUGUGUUGCUCACACAUUGGAACCAUGGUACACACAGCACAAACCAGGUGUUCCUCCAGGAAUCACCCAGGUAGGUGGGUCGGAGGUCGUGCCGGAAAGGGUUCCCUGACUGACAGUAAGUGUUUUGAUAAGUGAGAUUAACUGCUGCUGCACGCGUGCACUGUCCGCGCGGUGGUGUGAUCGUGUAUUGUGUUCGCUCCGAAGGGUUGCUGUGUUAUUGACAUGGCACGGACGUCCUGGACAUGGUGUCCAAACACCUCGGUACAGGCUGUGUACGCCCACCGUGUUCUGGGCCGGUGUUUAUGUUGUGUCCCUCCGCCCGGGAUUGUUUUAACGAUUUUAUUUGAUCGGGUUUCGACAGUUAUUUGAUGACGCGGAACCUGAUCACAUCUGUCCCACAUUUGGCACCGAGGGCCGAAUGUGUGUGUGUCCCUCUUGUUUACAAGCUGUCGUCGCUUGGUUCGUCAACUCUUCAUUUAUAUUUAAAAUCCAUCAAAGCUGUUACCCCUUUUUAUGUACGACCGGGCAAUCGAGUACGAGCUUUGGGAGAGUUUUAUUGCUGAAUUUAGCUGUAAGCUGUGAGUUAUGUUAGGCUCACUUCAGGAUUUAGGACGUCCCUUGGAUCGCGGCGAAUGACGAAAUCCAGCGCACAUGGUUCGGGUCAGUAUUGGUGGAGGAUUUAUUCGUAUUUUCCCAUAAAUCCGCAGCACCAAAGCCAUAACGCUUUGCUGCUAAUCGUUUUUUGAUUGUGCAACACCUGUAGCAUAGCUACCGCUGCCAUUGCCUUUUACGGUAUUUUUUUCUGUUUUGAUACAAAAAAGGAGUAGAUUGUGGCACAGAAAACAACCAGAGCAUACCUUCAAUGUUUGGUGAGGUGUGAUUCAAUUACGAUUGCCAUUAUUUGUGCUGAAAAACAUCAAAACGGAAAGGGGUGUAUGUAAAAAAUAACCAGCUCCACCUAGCAUAUUACCCUCCACUUUAGUGUAAUUCAAUAUCCUGGAACCCACCAAACAGCGACUUCAUUAAUUGGGUCAACAGGGGGGUGAGUGUGGGGAUAAAACAGUGGAGUGUAAUUAAAAAAAGGGCUCAUCGAACCGACUUUCCCGUCGAUGGUGCUCCGUUGUGACGACCAUGGUGACAUAACGCGCGCAGAAAUUUGAUGCCCCAGUGGACAACAGGGGGCGUGGUAAUUGGAAAACCAUCAAACGCGAUCGUGAACCGCGGACACACGUUUGUCUUCAUUAAUUCAAGCGUCCAUCUCUUCCAAACCUCCCUCGGUACCACCACCACCACCGGGAACAACCGGAACCAUUUAAGCGAAUGAUAUUCAAAUGAGAUCAUCCGUAUUUAUGUGACACUGUGUGCCGCCGCACAUGUGAUUUCGAGCGAUGGAAAUGUUCUCGUUGCAAAAGGAAAAAAAAAAGAAAGGACAUUCCAUCUGCUACGUUAAUUUACUCAUCCCCUCCGCUCCGCAAGCGUCUCCCAAAAUCACCGAUUUAUGGAAUCGGAAAAUUCCUGCUGCUGCUGCUGCUCCAAUUGCCAUCAUUGGUUUCGGGGUCCGGGUGCUUCCACUUCUCUUUCGAACCGGUGUGCACUUAAAUCCGACCGAAAUUCCAACCCGUUGCGGUCAAACCGGCGCGAUGUACAGCAUAGGAUGGGAUGGAUGGGCUAUAAAUUUCCCAACCUUAAAAUUGGGUAGGUUUGGAGCGUUUUGGAGCGUCCCCAAAGGGGUAGAAUAAACAAAAUAAAAACCGUUGAGAGAGUAUUCGGUAAUGCAAAAUGGAGCUUGCAGCCUUCCCGACACUUCCUACACAGCCUUUGGGGGAGCGGGAAAAUUCCAUCUUCACACGUGACGGGUGCGCGGGAAGCAACACAUGGGAAAGGGAACACACUCGACGGUGUAUGUACACGUUGCUGUGCUGCCCUUUUUGUGCCCUUUGCUGCCUUUACCAGUUGGCGAGCAGGCCGGGGUUAUAUGAAGUUGGAAAAGAAUUUUCUUUCCCCCAAACCAAAUUUUCCCAUUUUUCGGUGGGCCCCCGGUGGGCCUGGUAGUGGCGGCUGUAAGGUAAUGCAUACUCCACCAACACCUAAUCCUAUCGGUGCUGAGCCCAUGAGUGUUGUGUUGUGCGUGUGUGCAAGCUCGUGGAAAAUCCGUUCGCAAGCAAAUGCCUACCUUAAUCGGAAUAGAGGAUCACGCGUACUCCUCACAGCCUCCGGUGUGUAAAGGUUAAUGGGUGGCGGCUGUGGGCUGUGGGCUGUGGAAAUGCAGACACCCACACUCCUCCAUUACGCGCUCUCUCUCUCCACCUUUUCCGUUGUUCGGUUUUUGGUGACAGUUUUAAAGCCGCUUGGAAAGUACAAUUUGUACCAGGCGGCAUGCUCCUUUUGUUUUUCUUUCCCAGUUGGCUAGAAUUUCCCUUGUUCGUAGAAUGUAAUGUCUUCUUUCACCUCUUCGGAUGCCCCUUUUCCUCCCCCCCUUCACGAAGAAAGCACGUGAGCACGUGUAGAAAAUUUGGAAAGUAACAGAGAGCAGCAGCAGAAAGAGGAAGAGAAAAACAGAACUGCUACUUAGAACAAAAAAAAGGGAAAAGGGGUACAGUUUUCCAAGAGGAUGGAGUGGAGAAAUGAAGAUCACCGCCAGUAAGUUGGUCUGGUUUGGAAUUUCGGUACUAACGCGCUUUGAAGUUGCGCCCGCCCGCCAAGAGAGAGAGAGACAUUUUGUUAUUGUGUUCUUUGUUGUGCCUGUCUGCCUUUUUUCCCUCUUACGUUAUUACAUCCUUUUUCCCCCCAGCGUUCUACCAUGUGCGGUCGUGGUAGUUCGGUCUAAUUUGAUUACCUUAAACCGGAAGGCUGGAAGUAAAAAGUGUAAGCGAUGAUGCUGGCUGAUACUGUUAUGGUAAAGGCGCCUAUGCCCUUUGCUACUUGUUGUACUUGCGAGCGGUCCUUUUUGUUCUAGUAGAAGAGAGGCAUCUUCUGCCAUUAUCAAAACCGUCAUAUUUUGCGGAACGCCACCCUAUCCCUUGCGGGCGACAUUCUCGGAGUACGGCAGCGCAACAGUGGCGCAACAGGGAAAUUGGAUUACAUCGCACGCAGCGGCAGUGCGGCCGUUGGUUUUUGCGGACCCGUGUGUCUCCAGUUAGUCAUCUUCCGGCGACCUCCCUUCGACCGGAUCACUUUGACAUUGGGCGGCCUAUAUAUAUACGAUAAGGAAUGAGCGAAAUUGGAAAAUGAGAUUAGAAGAGCUGCCAGAACCCCAACCCCCAUCCAUUACCAUCGGGCCUGGGAAUCAUGGUGAAAUAGUGAUUAGAAAGAGAUCUCCUUGAACUUGAACGAGAGAGAAAAAAAAAACACUCUCUGGAAGGUCUUUCCCGAUAAGCGAAACCGGAAUGGGUCGGUUCGUUCAAGGACCUGUUCAAGAACUUCUGGAAGCUACCAAAGCGUUAUAUUUAGUUGGCAUUUGUUUCUCGAAUGCCCACACAAAAAACCUCUUCGAUUGAUAAUGAGACGUUCGGGAGCUUCGCGAUUGCCAAAAAAACAGUACCCCACAAGCAUGCAGGUGAUAACAAACGGGCAGCACAUGCUGUUUGUUUGGAAACCACAUGCCAGAACGGGCAUUCCUCAUUCUUCAUUCUUCAGAGUAAGGCGCAAUUAAGGGGACAUUGUUUCUGACAUGUUUCUAUUUCGGUUCUUUACAACACGGAACCGGUCAAGCUGAGGCCCGUUUUACCGCAAGUACCUUAAAAACUGUUUAGCCAAUUCCACCAACCGUAAGUGCUCCGGGUUCCUGCCCAUCCCGUUUGCCAUCUGCUUAACGUCAUCUGUCUGAAAGGAGGAACCGUAACCGCAUUUACAUACAUACCCGAGAACAGACAGGCCGGCUUCUUGUUGAGUCUUUAUUUUUUGUGGUAACCAACAGCACGUGGCACCAUCGUUACUUUCCAAAGUCUGGAGAAAAGCGAAACAUUUUAACGAAAUUAAACAUAUCCUUCACGGAAAUUGAGCUCAAGACGCGGCCCAAGAGUGGUCCCGCUUGGUGUUGAUCCUUCCGGCAGCCGUUGCCUGCGGGGACUAGUGCCCGACACUGAAGGAACUACUCCUCCCGUAACUUCUCCUACUAACACGCUGCCACCUUGCAAACCUCUCCCCAUGAGAGGAAAGAGUAAUAAGCCGAAAAGCCGAAAAAAAACCAGAAGCAAUUUGUGACUAAGUAAUUUGGCUUCCAUAUUUUACAACUUGUCGGGGAGUUGAGGGUUUUUUGUCGGGGUUUUUUUUCCUUCUGUGCCUUCGUCCCUUACAUUUAGUACGUGUGUAAGGUAUGUGGUUUGGCUUCAGGUUCACUGUCUAACUGCACUCAGUCCUCAGUAGUGUGGAUAAAUAUUUAGAGUAUAGAGAGAAUGGAGAGGAAGAGAAAGGAAAAACUCCAUACUGCACCAAGCUACAUCUGACGCGCCCGGCCAGCCCUAAUCUCCUCGUACGCGCUGAGUACCCUUUUAUGCGUGUUUUUCGGGAAAAUAAAAUCCCUGGCUGCCUCUUCUGCUAGAUUCUGUCGCAACCAGCGUGUACGCGAGGGUUUCGGGAGAGGGCGUCUUCGUCAUCAUAAGUGUUUUUACGGCAGCCCUUCCUCUUCCCUUACCAUAACGGUUGACGGUGCUGCUUUAACUAGCAUUGAACUACUUCUACAGCAAUUUAACACGGCUCUGGCGGUGUUUCCGCGCGCGUGUGUGUGUGUGGUUGGAUAAGGUAAAUAAAGAAAGGAUUUCUAUUCCACCAGCAACCCAGCUGGAUAGUGCCAGAUGCCCUGCCCGGAGGACCGGGCGGCGUGCUCUUGCAUAAUCGUGCAGCUUAUCACCUGAGCCAUGCACACCCGCGUCGCCGUUUUCCCCAUGAACCGGUCGCGCAUCGGGAAGGAAUAUAUAGAAUAUAAAUGAGACACGCGAACUGGUGGGGUUCCACGCUCCCGAGUCUACCAACAGCAGCACGGUGUAGACCGGCCUGGGUUGGAGAACUUUGAACCAAAAACUUUUCGCUUUUCGGGAUGUUCUAGUGUUGACUUAUCGCUUAGAUGUACCACCUCUUCCAUCGCUGUUUCCUGCUGACGUGUCGGCGGCUGAUGUUGUACACGUGUAGAAUUAAGGUCUAAGUAGCAGCAGCAAGGCGCACCGAACCCUUCCGGCAGCGUCGGUGGACAGAUUUGUGUUGACAGCUUUACAUCUCAUCAAAAACCCUGUCCCUGCUCCCUUGCCAGUAGCUUCCCCCAGUAAAUAGAUUUAACCACCCACCUCCAGGUAAUCGAUGUGUGAAAUGCAAAUGAGCAGCAACAACCAUCGACCGGGCGCGCGCUGGUAAACUUCCACGGUUGUUUACCCCGAACGGUGUUGGACGGGGAAGUAAAGAGAAAAUAUUUUGCACAGCUCUAACCGAUAUUCGUGUGUUUCGUGCUGGCGUCUUAUACAGUACAGUAUCACAUUUAAUUACAGCUAGUACACGGGUCGCUCAUUGCCUCCGUGGUUUCCGCGUCCGGCUCACUGGACACUGGACGUCCUUCGAACGCCGCAGCUCGCUAAUCGGUGCAUUUGAGGGCCGCCCAGAGCGACAUUACGCGCUAACGGCUCGGGAGGUACCGUUGAUUUGUCACAGUUGCUUUUUAAUAACGUUCGACAGGCGGGCACAUCCAUCACGUGAGCUGUUCUAGGUAAAAGUGGGGGAGAGAAAAUGACGCCUUCUUGCGAAUGCGGUUUACUGUACAGUUGUAGGAGAUAUUAAAGCACACACUCCGCUUAGAGAUGCGUCAAUACUCGCUACCUAUUGAUGAUUUAUCGAUAAGAACGGGGCCCACAAAACGCCUCUUCUGCAGCGGUGUAUUUACAUACGCGUGGUGGGCUGUGCUACCGGAGGCUCUAAAAUAUGGCCAUGCCAAACAAUGCUCUCCUCUCCCUUCCAUCUUGUUGCGCUCCUACGCUUCCUACGGUCAUACCUUAUCGAUCAUAAUUUAUCACAAUUGAGGCUUAUCCGGUUCGAAGGACCAAAAAAGUGGUUCGGUUUCGGGGCUUUCCUGGAAACGGUCUUACAGGCAAUGGAAACCACAGCUUAGCAAACAGUUUAGAUAAUUGUUGCUUCCAGACAAUUGUGCUUGCUCGGUGCAAACACUGAGCUCUCCCAUCACGGGUUUGGCAGUGAACACGGAGUUUGUGGAUUUAUGGAACAUCUCCAUUCCGCUUCCAGGUGGUGCAAUAUGUUACGGUCCAUUGGUUCGAUUGAUUCCACGUUACGGCAUUUUCGUACCACUAGAUUCCGGGAACCACAGUUCGAACGCAUGAUUUAUUCAACCGGAUUUCAGGGCCGGGCUUAAUGCGUUGCAUCCCUGCGUUCCGCUCAAUCACCUGUCGGCGUUCUCCGAAAACAAAACCGCGCUGGUUAUGCGGGCAUUUCUGAUACGCUUUAAUAUGCACACAGGAUUACACACACAGCUCGCCGCAGUGUGGGCAAGAAUUACAAAUCACCCAUACAGAAAAGAAAUAACGCUUAUCCUUUAUGCAGCAAUUCCGGUACGCAUUGCAUUGCGAUCUUAAUCCUUGGCGAUGGCGUUGGACGUAAUUAAAAAUCACCACACCACGGGCCGAGAUGUUGAGAGGGAACGUGUACGUCUUCUGGGUAAAACGCUGCACCAUCUGGCCGAAGCGAUGGCGAUGGGGAUGAUUGCAUUAAACGGAAAACCACAGCCGCAAAUCGCUCCGUGGUGUACCAUCUGUGACCGUUCGCGCAACAGCCACGCGCAAAUGUGCACACUUAAAAAUAUUUCACGACCUCGGUUAAAAAAACUGCCGAAAUUCGUCGGCUCUUUCGAUUCUUGCUGAUAUGUCAGUUAAAAAUUUCCCAUUGCCGAUAAUCAAUACCAUUUAAAACUGAAAUAUCAGUUAAACAAAUAUUUUAACCGAAACUCGGCAACACAACAUGCCGAUUACGUACGUUAACACUGCUGUCACCGAGGUCAUCCGUCAAAAUAACCGAAAUUUCGGCUAUGCUAUUUGAGUUAGCCGAGGCUCGGUUUUCUAUCUGUCAUUCAUCAUUUUGUCGAAGCAGAAUCCUUCCGGAGUGAUUUUGUGUUAUAAAAUUAAUAGUGUGAAAAAUAAACGAACAUAUGACACCCAGCGUGAAGAAACCGAUCAUCAGUAGCGUACGAUGGGACACGGGUGGCCUAGGAAGCUCUGUCAACGCACGUAGCCAGUGCACAUAAGAUCGUCGCUCGAAGCAGUCCUUAUCCAAGGAUUACCGGAUGCUAGUCCGAUUGGACCAACCUUUGCCGGCCCGUUCGGACUUCCAGGUUUCAUUUCCAGUUACCUUCACGAGAACCGUGUCUGUACCGGUGCCCGCUCUAUGCCCGGCCCAUCUUCCUGCACCUUUAAUACAUCCAGACGCUGUACACCAUCUGGUGUUGUACCGGCGGCCGUCCCUGCGCUUCCCAUCCCACCACAACUCUCAUUAUUUGGGGGUGGGGAGGUGACUUCCUGCCGUCCAACUACAGAUAAGAUGGUGGUAUCAUGCUGCAGAAAAUGUACAUCGGCAAUCAGCAUCGGCUCUGGCUAUUAUGGCUGUGGCUCAAUAAAUAAUUGUGUUUGUUUUUAUAACUCAAACUAACUUUUUACGCAAAUAAAACCACUAAAAUUAAAAAAAGA